ensembl:lncRNA
UUAAAAUUUUGACCUGGCCUCCUUGUUGGCUUGUAUCUGAACAUCUCCAAGGCACCCUGUCAAUGACGUGAUCCGCCUCUGGCCACUAUCUGUACGUGGAUGGGUGACAUGUGACAGAAGGGCAGUCUGACAGAAUGGCAUCUGACAUGGCAGCACAUAUGAAGAUGUGUCACUCUACACAUGCCUCUUCCACAUGCCUCCAUGCGGAAAAAAUGGCACCCACUGACAUUCAUUGACACCUGCUGAACAUCUGUGGAGUCCAAACAGUGAAUAAAGUUUUUCACUUAAGACGUUCAUCCGUUGGCAGUACAGUUUAUCUCCUUGGGAGGUAAACAGACAUAAGAUUCACAGACCAUUGUCUCCAAAAAGCCGUUAUUCCGCCCAUACCCUUCCUUGUCCUGACUGUGAAUUCCAUACUCAUCACACGCUUUCCCAAGAAAGUGUCUGCAUGAACCUUUGCUGAUGGGUGUUACAAUAUUUCACAGUAGAAAUCCAGAGAAUGUGUUGUAAAAAGCAGAAAGACUUGGUCUGGCUGAGAUUUUUUUCUUUUUGUACUAGACUGGGAGCUCUACCAAAUAAAACACCCUGAAGUUCUCUGCUUCUGUCUGACUUAGCAAACCGAACAAGUGAAGUGGAUAUAAAUAUCCCUGCGGCAUUUAUCAAGAAGUGAAAUUGAGCAACAAAGUAAAUUUUGGUGAUGAGGAGGUACAUUGUUGAUGGCCUUCAGAUACAACAACAGCUGCAGUAAGAAGGCCUUUCGGUUCUAGAACCUGAAGAAGGAACCUUGCAGUCCAAUUGUACUGCUGGUUACCUGCUCCCCUGACAGCACUUGAGCACUCUGUCCACACAAUGCAGUCAUUCUCUUCAGGCUGAUGAACUCUGAGGAUAUCAGUGACAAACAGCAAAGUAUUUUGAUUGCAACACAGGUCUUUGAACUAAAACUCCAGAGGAAUGUUGGCACAGGGCUAACAAUGCCGAGCAAUUAGCCUAAGUGCUCUCCCACUGAAAUGUAAUCACCCUCCACAAGGAACUAGCUCCUGCUGGGGAAAGCAAGGAGAAGGCGAAUUUGGCAAGAAGUCACCUGGCAGGCGGUCUACCAACACCUCCCUGAGUGCCACUCAGGUGCCAUGUUCACCCUCUGGAGGCUGCAUGUGAAUGAGGCCCCAGGCCCCCAGCAGUGUCUGGCUGCAUCCAAGGAGCCUCUCACAUGUUUUUCCCUUUGAGUAAAAACAGGAGGCCUGGAAAUC